rnacentral:rRNA from 1 species
AUGUUGCCUGCUGUUCCUAUCAAGAAACUUACCUCACCAUAUGUAUUUAAUUUCUGGAAUCACUCCUUCCUAUCCUUGGUACGUAUAGAUAUGUACAAGCACACAUGGGCAACUUGGGCUAGACUCCUACACUCACCUCCACAGUCCAAUAUAAGUGUAUCUCAUCUGAAUGAUAAUUCUAUGUUGCAAGUUCAUGAUCCUUUGAUAUCCAUUCUAAUGUAUCAGAGAAAACUGCUGAACAAGAUGUUCUCUUCACGCCAUGUCUUAUCUCAGUUGCAAUAUUAUAGAUUUUUUUCAUCAAGGAAGCAGAGGAAGGCAAUGAAUCAAAUUGAAGAUUUGAAGGCAAGGAACAUAGCCAUUCUGUGUUUGGAUGAUGGUUUUGAAGAAGUCUUAUUAAGCUUCAAAAGUGUAAUAGCGCAAAUGCGCCAGAAUUCUUAUGAUUAUGGCAAGCGAGUUGAUCUCUCCAAGCGUUAUGGACCUGGCUGCAAGGUGUACACAGCAGGAGGAGCUGGGGCAUUCCAUGUGAUAAUUCAGCAUUGCAAAGCGUCAUUGCGCAUGUCUUUUUCAGCAAGAGACCUGUAUUCCAGAGCUUGGAGAAAUGAGUUGGGAACAUUUGUCAUGGCACCAUAUGUCACAGGGUGGUUAUACAUAACAAAUGAAGACCAUCAAACUCUUUCAUUCACAAGCAGUUAUACCUAUGGCGGUCUUGGUGGAGACGACGUCAAGGACACGUGGAUUGGCGUUGAUGCACUCCGUCACGCAUUUCAUGUGAUACGCAAGUCAGAUGGAAGGUGCACAGACCUUCUUAGACAAGCUAUCAAGAUUGUCAGCAUUCACUUGUCAGAAUCAGCCCACCUCCAGUCAGUUUUUGAAGCAGUUUGCAAGUCCAUGACUGAUGAUACAAGAACCACUUUGGAUGUUGAACCUGAGGCUGCAGCCGGUGCUGCUGAAGCCACCGGCUGCAGCCGGUGCGGCUGCAGCUGGUGCUGCUGCAGCCGGUGUUGCUGCAGCCGGUGCUGCUGCAGCUGGUGCGGCUCGGCCAAUAAGAACUCAUACCCCCUCGUUUUGGGUAGAGAAUUAUGGUUACUACUCCAAACAGGCGAUGAAAGCGGUUGA